CAAGUUUCGAGAUGGGGGCCGUCAAUUCGGAGCUGGAAGAAUUAUUCCAGGAGAAAAAGCGAGUUAGAAAUCCCUUUGUCCCUAUAGCCAUGCUCACUCAAAUUCUUGACGUGGCGGGGAUGGGAAGUAUAGAACUGGCCCCGACCUCCCCAGUGCUAUUCCUACAUGCUCCCGCGAUGUGUCUUUAACAUAAGCUUUUACCUAUGUUGCUUAGCGGACUGUUUGGAGCAUAUAGGUCUGUGGCUCUUAUUAUUGUAAUGCUUAUAUUUAGUAGUCAUUCGUUAGUCGCAGGCUAAUUUGGCACUAUGAAGGAACAGUUAUUCAUAGGAUCCUGGUCCAUAUAACCAAAAUUUGGGCAAAUGAACUUGUGUUUUUCAAGGAUCUGUUUCUGCUAGAAGGAAUUACAGUCUCAAUUUUAAGUUUCUACCAGUUCAUGCCAUCAGUCAUAUGCUAGUAAUGAUUUUUGUUGUUUGAUAUCAAAAAUUUAUUUAAUUUUUCACUUAUCAUAUAUUUGAGGGCCUUGUA